GAUGAACGCUGGCGGCGUGCCUAAUACAUGCAAGUCGAGCGGACAGACGAGGAGCUUGCUCCUCUGACGUUAGCGGCGGACGGGUGAGUAACACGUGGAUAACCUACCUAUAAGACUGGGAUAACUUCGGGAAACCGGAGCUAAUACCGGAUGAUAUAUUGAACCGCAGGGGUCAAUAGUGAAAGACGGUUUUGCUGGCAGUUCUGGCUGGAUCCGCGGCUUAUCAGCUAGUUGGUGGGGUAACGGCUUACCAAGGCUUUGAUGGGUAGCCGGCCUGAGAGGGUGACCGGCCACAUUGGGACUGAGAUACGGCCCAGACUCCUACGGGAGGCAGCAGUGGGGAAUAUUGCACAAUGGGCGGAAGCCUGAUGCAGCAACGCCGCGUGCGGGAUGACGGCCUUCGGGUUGUAAACCGCUUUCGCCUGUGACGAAGCGUGAGUGACGGUAAUGGGUAAAGAAGCACCGGCUAACUACGUG
rnacentral:rRNA from 1 species